rnacentral:rRNA from 1 species
AGUGAACGCUGGCGGUAGGCCUAACACAUGCAAGUCGAACGGCAGCACAGUAAGAGCUUGCUCUUACGGGUGGCGAGUGGCGGACGGGUGAGGAAUACAUCGGAAUCUACUUUUUCGUGGGGGAUAACGUAGGGAAACUUACGCUAAUACCGCAUACGACCUACGGGUGAAAGUAGGGGAUCUUCGGACCUUGCGCGAUUGAAUGAGCCGAUGUCGGAUUAGCUAGUUGGCGGGGUAAAGGCCCACCAAGGCGACGAUCCGUAGCUGGUCUGAGAGGAUGAUCAGCCACACUGGAACUGAGACACGGUCCAGACGCCUACGGGAGGCAGCAGUGGGGAAUAUUGGACAAUGGGCGCAAGCCUGAUCCAGCCAUACCGCGUGGGUGAAGAAGGCCUUCGGGUUGUAAAGCCCUUUUGUUGGGAAAGAAAAGCAGCAGGUUAAUACCCCGCUGUUCUGACGGUACCCAAAGAAUAAGCACCGGCGAACUUCGU